rnacentral:rRNA from 1 species
AUUGAACGCUGGCGGCGUGCUUAACACAUGCAAGUCGAGCGGAGCGGCGAACGGGUAAGUAACGCGUGAGUAACUGCCCCCCUCUCUGGGAUAACAGUUGGACACGGCUGCUAAUACCGGAUAGUGGGGGAUGACUCGCGUCCGAUCGGCUGGUUGGUGGGGUAGUGGCCUACCAAGGCGACUCCGGGUAGCCGGCCUGAGAGGGAGACCGGCCACAUUGGGCUGAGAUACGGCCCAAACUCCUACGGGAGGAAGCAGUGUGGAAUAUUGCGCAAUGGGGGAAACACUGAUGCAGCAACGCGCGUGCGGGAUGACGGCCUUCGGGUGGUAAGCCGCUUUCAGCCAUGUCGGGGUAGUGGCAGAAGAAGCACCGGCUAACUACGUGCCAGCAGCCGCGGUAAUAC